rnacentral:rRNA from 1 species
GACGUAGGGCGCAAGCGUUGUUCGGAAUUACUGGGCGUAAAGGGCUCGUAGGCGGCCAACUAAGUCGGAUGUGAAAUCCCCAGGCUCAACCUGGGAACUGCAUCCGAUACUGGAUGGCUUGAAUUCGGGAGAGGGAUGCAGAAUUCCAGGUGUAGCGGUGAAAUGCGUAGAUAUCAGGAGGAACACCGGUGGCGAAGGCGGGUCUCUGGGCCGAAAUUGACGCUGAGGAGCGAAAGCGUGGGGAGCAAACAGG